CAUGCAAGUCGAGCGGAUGAAGGGAGCUUGCUCCUGGAUUCAGCGGCGGACGGGUGAGUAAUGCCUAGGAAUCUGCCUGGUAGUGGGGGAUAACGUCCGGAAACGGGCGCUAAUACCGCAUACGUCCUGAGGGAGAAAGUGGGGGAUCUUCGGACCUCACGCUAUCAGAUGAGCCUAGGUCGGAUUAGCUAGUUGGUGGGGUAAAGGCCUACCAAGGCGACGAUCCGUAACUGGUCUGAGAGGAUGAUCAGUCACACUGGAACUGAGACACGGUCCAGACUCCUACGGGAGGCAGCAGUGGGGAAUAUUGGACAAUGGGCGAAAGCCUGAUCCAGCCAUGCCGCGUGUGUGAAGAAGGUCUUCGGAUUGUAAAGCACUUUAAGUUGGGAGGAAGGGCAGUAAGUUAAUACCUUGCUGUUUUGACGUUACCAACAGAAUAAGCACCGGCUAACUUCGUGCCAGCAGCCGCGGUAAUACGAAGGGUGCAAGCGUUAAUCGGAAUUACUGGGCGUAAAGCGCGCGUAGGUGGUUCAGCAAGUUGGAUGUGAAAUCCCCGGGCUCAACCUGGGAACUGCAUCCAAAACUACUGAGCUAGAGUACGGUAGAGGGUGGUGGAAUUUCCUGUGUAGCGGUGAAAUGCGUAGAUAUAGGAAGGAACACCAGUGGCGAAGGCGACCACCUGGACUGAUACUGACACUGAGGUGCGAAAGCGUGGGGA
rnacentral:rRNA from 1 species